GUUACACUCAAAAAAAUGAAAACUUAUGUUUGUAUAUUUAAAGCAAAUAUAUCAAGUUGAAAUAACUUGAAUUCGUGAAUUGCCAUGUUUCACUUGAAAUGUUAUAGUCAAAAGAACAUAAACAAGCCAAUAGUUCAACUAACUAAAACCACACACAAAAUGAACAAUAAUGAACUGUGUUUAUCCAAGUCUCACGCAGAUGUCCCUACCAUCGCGAGAUUGCAGCUGCAGCUACGGCGCGAAAAACCCUGGAUCGAUGGAAAGAAGCGAAACGGACUGCGUGCUGCCCACUGUCUCGAGGCUGUGCUGUCUGCGUGCCUGCAUCUACGAACAUCUCCAAGACCCUAUGACACACCCAUUAUAAAAUGGCUGCUCCAAUGAAGCUCAGGGUGAUUCUGGGACCAAACAACUCCCAAAAAUUGGUCCUUCCCAAUGGGAUGCCUCCGUCUGUUGGUGAACUUUCAGACGAAGUAAAGAAACAGUGUGGA